rnacentral:tRNA from 1 species
ACCUGGGUGGCUCAGUCGGUUGGGCUUCCGACUUCAGCUUGGAUCAUGAUCUCACGGUCUGUGGGUUCGAGCCCCAUCUCGGGCU